CUUGUCCAUUUUCCUUGAAUCUUCAAAGUUUAUUCCUAAACAGCUGAAUGGAUUACAAGAAGAAUUUGAAGGUAAUACAACAUAUGGGGAUACAUGUAGUUUAUUUAAUAAAAGGAAGAUGUAGUAUGAUUGCCAAUGAGACCAAAUGACACAGAAAUAUUUGUUUGUUUUGUCAAUGCUUAACAUUGCUUUCACCAACCAUAAUUAUAUCAUAAAGCUGUGACAAUACUUGUCAAUUAAUAUAAGAGUCAAAUACACCUUACCAUGACAUUGGUUCUCAG
rnacentral:lncRNA from 1 species